rnacentral:lncRNA from 10 species
UUGAGACAAAUUCUGGCUCUGUCACCCAGACUGGAGUGCAGUGGUGCCAUCUUGGCUCACUGCAACCUCCACCUCCGAGGCUCAAGCAAUUCUCUCACCCCAGCCUCCUGAGUAGCUAGGACCACAGGUGCUCACCACCACGCCUGGUUAACUUUUGUGUUUUUUGUAGAGAUGGGGUUUUGCCAUGUUUCCUAUGCUGGUCUGGAACUCAUGAACUCAACAGAUUGUCCCACCUCAGCCUCUCAAAGUGCUGGGAUUACAGCUCAAAGCACCUGUCAUAAAAAUAUUAACUUGUAAUAAAAGUGUUUAGUAACACUAAUAUGUGAUGGCAAUUUCAGGAAAGUCAAUGUUCUGAGCAAGAAGAACAAGGAACAGAAGGUAUAAUGAUAACAGAUGAGAGAGGAAAAAGCAGACUCAAUCAACUCCUACUUUUCCAUCAUUUUUCCGUUACAGAGAAUUAUCCUCAAAUUAGAAGGAGUAGGACCUACAUGGUAAAGAAAAAAUUUACGUGCAAGGCAGAUGAGGAAGUAAGAGAGCAUCCAGCCCCUUCACACAACUUCAUUCUCUGUCUUACCGAAAGAAUGUGAAAUGUGGUGGUAGCUUUACUGGGGACAGGAGAGGUGCCAGAAGUUUGAAGAUGGACUAAUCUCCUUGUUUUCUAAAAGAAGAACCUAUAAGUCUCUGAGCACAUUUUUCUUUGGCAAAAUUCUGGAAUGGAUAAUUAGACAAAUGGUUUGUGAAUCUUUAGAAAAGUGGCAAAAACAAGGCACAGCAUAAAUUCACU